UGCAGGUUACAAAGGCGGUCUGACCUCAGUUUCGCUGCCUUCAUUCACCACAAACUCUGCCUUGUCAGUACCAUAAAAUCCUUGGAAGGCAAAGGGUCCCAUUUUUCCUUCCUUUAACAGGUUUGGAGCUCUCUUUAGAGAGUAAAAAGUGAUUUGCUAGAUGUGUUUAAGAACUCGUCAAAUCAAAUUUUUACCUCAAAAUGAUUCCAGGCUAGGAAAACACACUGGUUCUUAAUCGAGACAGGACGGGUGGGGAAGCUCCCUCCCCUCCCAAGAGUACACCCACCUGCUUUUGAUUCAACACACCUGGGGGGUAGACCCAGACACAUUUCCAUUGAACCCCCCCCUUCUAAACUUCAUCAAAAUCAACCUAUCUACAUCAUGGGUCACACACAUAUAAAAGCCCCCACACUAAAUUUUACAAGAGAUUAACACACCCAAUCAUUUCAAAAUCAAAGCAAGAGCUUUGUAGAGCUAAGGCCACCUCAGAAUUGUCCAUGUCAGUCGGUCACGACUUUACCCUCAUUAAGGCAAAAUCAAACAUGACUGACAGAUUUUCUUUCAGCAGGAUAAUGUCAUCUGCGCCCCUCUA